AUGAACGUUGGCGGCGUGGAUUAGGCAUGCAAGUCGAGCGAGAACCGGUUUCGGCCGGGGACAGCGGCGAACGGCGUAGUAAUGCAUCGGAUCGUACCCUCUGGUCGGGGAUAGCUACGGGAAACUGUAGGUAAUACCCGAUAAUCUCUGUGGAGCAAAGGUGAGAUUCCGCCGGAGGAGCGGCUGAUGUGAUAUUAGCUAGUUGGUGGGGUAAUGGCCUACCAAGGCGAUGAUGUCUAGGGGGUGUGAGAGCAUGGCCCCCACGACCGGAACUGAGAUACUGUCCGGACACCUACGGGUGGCUGCAGUCGAGAAUCUUCCGCAAUGGACGAAAGUCUGACGGAGCGACGCCGCGUGCGGGAUGAAGGCCCUUGGGUUGUAAACCGCUGUCAGAGGGGAUGAAAUCGUCGGAGGUACUCCUCCGAUGUUGACAGAGCCUCAAAGGAAGCACGGGCUAAGUACGU
rnacentral:rRNA from 1 species